rnacentral:rRNA from 1 species
GAUGAACGCUGGCGGCGUGCCUAACACAUGCAAGUCGAACGGAGCUUAUGAAGUUUUCGGACUGAGUAAGCUUAGUGGCGGACGGGUGAGUAACGCGUGGGUAACCUGCCUCAUACAGGGGGAUAACAGUUGGAAACGACUGCUAAAACCGCAUAAGAUAGGAAGACCGCAUGGUCAUUCUAUUAAAUAUUCAUAGGUAUGAGAUGGGCCCGCGUCUGAUUAGCUAGUUGGCAGGGUAACGGCCUACCAAGGCGACGAUCAGUAGCCGGCUUGAGAGAGUGACCGGCCACAUUGGGACUGAGACACGGCCCAAACUCCUACGGGAGGCAGCAGUGGGGAAUAUUGCACAAUGGGGGAAACCCUGAUGCAGCGACGCCGCGUGAGUGAAGAAGUAUUUCGGUAUGUAAAGCUCUAUCAGCAGGGAAGAAAAUGACGGUACCUGACUAAGAAGCCCCGGCUAACUACGUG